AAAUUGAAGAGUUUGAUCAUGGCUCAGAUUGAACGCUGGCGGCAGGCCUAACACAUGCAAGUCGAACGGUAACAGGAAGCAGCUUGCUGCUUCGCUGACGAGUGGCGGACGGGUGAGUAAUGUCUGGGAAACUGCCUGAUGGAGGGGGAUAACUACUGGAAACGGUAGCUAAUACCGCAUAAUGUCGCAAGACCAAAGAGGGGGACCUUCGGGCCUCUUGCCAUCGGAUGUGCCCAGGUGGGAUUAGCUUGUUGGUGGGGUAACGGCUCACCAAGGCGACGAUCC
rnacentral:rRNA from 1 species